rnacentral:rRNA from 1 species
AGUCGACGGCAGCACGGGAGCAAUCCUGGUGGCGAGUGGCGAACGGGUGAGUAAUGUAUCGGAACGUACCUUUCAGUGGGGGAUAACGUAGCGAAAGUUACGCUAAUACCGCAUAUUCUGUGAGCAGGAAAGCAGGGGAUCGCAAGACCUUGCGCUGAUUGAGCGGCCAAUAUCAGAUUAGCUAGUUGGUGAGGUAAAGGCUCACCAAGGCGACGAUCUGUAGCGGGUCUGAGAGGAUGAUCCGCCACACUGGAACUGAGACACGGUCCAGACUCCUACGGGAGGCAGCAGUGGGGAAUUUUGGACAAUGGGGGCAACCCUGAUCCAGCCAUGCCGCGUGAGUGAAGAAGGCCUUCGGGUUGUAAAGCUCUUUCAGCCGGGAAGAAAUCACAUGGGUUAAUACCCUGUGUGGAUGACGGUACCGGAAUAAGAAGCACCGGCUAACUAUGUGCCAGCAGCCGCGGUAAUACGUAGGGUGCGAGCGUUAAUCGGAAUUACUGGGCGUAAAGCGUGCGCAGGCGGUUUGUUAAGAUAGGCGUGAAAUCCCCGGGCUCAACCUGGGAACUGCGUUUAUGACUGGCAGGCUAGAGUAUGGCAGAGGGGGGUGGAAUUCCACGUGUAGCAGUGAAAUGCGUAGAGAUGUGGAGGAACACCGAUGGCGAAGGCAGCCCCCUGGGCCAAUACUGACGCUCAUGCACGAAAGCGUGGGUAGCAAACAGGAUUAGAUACCCUGGUAGU